rnacentral:lncRNA from 1 species
CUGGGCAGCAUUUCAAGAACAGGCUGCCGGUGCUACACUGGUUAUACCAUGAUUUGUGUCUGCAAACAAUGUACCCUGGGAAACUGUAUGCAGAGGCAGACCGAGCCCUCAUACCCAAGUUUCCUAACUUGGCUGACAGUGCAGGGACUGGCUAUGACUCGUGGCGAGAAGCUUUAAGGUUUAAAGCUAAAUAUGAGCGAAGAAAGCUCAGGCUGCAAGAACGCACUGAUGAUGGCCCACCACCUAAAAGACCGACAGUGGUCAACAGUGACAGUCUUGCCCCCAAAAGGAUCACAAGA